UACGUAGGUGGCAAGCGUUGUCCGGAUUUACUGGGCGUAAAGGAUGCGUAGGCGGAUUUUUAAGUGAGAUGUGAAAUACCCGGGCUUAACUUGGGUGCUGCAUUUCAAACUGGGAAUCUAGAGUGCGGGAGAGGAGAAUGGAAUUCCUAGUGUAGCGGUGAAAUGCGUAGAGAUUAGGAAGAACACCAGUGGCGAAGGCGAUUCUCUGGACCGUAACUGACGCUGAGGCAUGAAAGCGUGGGUAGCAAACAGG
rnacentral:rRNA from 1 species